GUGGGGAAUAUUGGACAAUGGGCGAAAGCCUGAUCCAGCCAUGCCGCGUGUGUGAAGAAGGUCUUCGGAUUGUAAAGCACUUUAAGUUGGGAGGAAGGGCAGUAAGUUAAUACCUUGCUGUUUUGACGUUACCGACAGAAUAAGCACCGGCUAACUUCGUGCCAGCAGCCGCGGUAAUACGAAGGGUGCAAGCGUUAAUCGGAAUUACUGGGCGUAAAGCGCGCGUAGGUGGUUUUGUAAGUUGGAGGUGAAAUCCCCGGGCUCAACCUGGGAACUGCCUCCAAAACUGCAUGACUAGAGUACGGGAGAGGGUAGUGGAAGAUCCUGUGUAGCGGUGAAAUGCGUAGAUAUAGGAAGGAACACCAGUGGCGAAGGCGACUACCUGGACUGAUACUGACACUGAGGUGCGAAAGCGUGGGGAGCAAACAGGAUUAGAUACCCCAGUAGUCC
rnacentral:rRNA from 1 species